rnacentral:tRNA from 1 species
GAGAGUAUAGCUCAGUGGUAGAGUGUGUGCCUAGCAUGCAUGAGGUCCUGGGUUCAAUCCCAAGUAUCUCCA